rnacentral:hammerhead_ribozyme from 1 species
AUUCAGCUGACGAGUCCCAAAUAGGAGGAAAUAAGUAUCCUGUAU